rnacentral:rRNA from 1 species
AUGGUUAACUUCAAGGCUUGCAGCAAACUGUACAUGUACCCGAAGACUGGAAGUACUACUACAAUGAAGAGGCAUCUGGAUGGCUGCUUUGCACAUCAUGGUGAGAAGAACAUCAAAAAAGGUCAAGGCACUCUGAAUUUUGAUGCGGCUGAUGCAUGUGGUAUUGAUCUUCCAGUAGUCAAUUUCUAUGGUGGCUUUGAUCAUGGAAAAAUUCGUGAGCAUAUUGCUACAAUGAUAAUUGUCCAUGAGUACCCUUUCCGCAUGGUCGAGCAUUUCUGGUUCAAUGUGCUCAUGAAGACUUUGAAUCCUUCUUAUCAGAAGACAUCAAGAACCACCAUCAAAAAUGAGUGUUUGCAGAUUUUUAAGUCCCGAAAGGAAACACUAAAGAAGGAACUUAAGCAUGUUGGCAAAAUUAGCCUCACAUGUGAUCUCUGGACCUCUAACCAAACUCUCUGUUAUAUGAGCUUGGUGGCACACUAUAUUGAUUCAGAAUGGAAUAUGCAGUACCGUGUGAUUAGUUUUCUUGAACUGGAGCCACCACACACAGGUAUUGUGAUAUCUCAGGCUAUAUUUGAGUGCCUUUCUGAUUGGAAGAUUGAAGACAAAAUUGCAACUAUAACUCUUGAUAAUGCUUCUUCCAAUGACGUGGCUGCUCGUCAACUGAUGUCGAAGUUUAAGGCCAGAGGAAGUGCGUUUUUCCAUGGCAAAUUUUUUCAUGUCAGAUGCUUUGCUCAUAUACUCAACCUUUUAGUAUCAGAUGGCCUAAAGGUUAUAGAACCACUCAUUGAGAGCAUCUGGCAAACUGUUAAGUAUUUGAAGAAGUCGCCAUCUCGGCUCUACAAAUUUACUGAGAUUGUCAAGUCACUUAACAUGUCAACCAAGAUGGGGUUGUGUCUUGAUGUUCCAACUAGAUGGGGAUCCACAUACAAGAUGCUUGAGCGUGCCUUUUCUUUCAAAAAUGCAUUUUUACAUUAUGCAGAUUUGGAUGCCAAUUAUAAGUGGGAGCCAUCUAGUGAAGAGUGGAGGAUGUAUGCUAAAAUAAGGGAUAUUUUAGCAGUGUUGAGCAUGGUGACCACUGUGUUUUCUGGAUCAACCUAUCCUACAGCUAAUGAGUUCUUUCUUCUCAUUGUGAAUGUUAAGAGCGUCCUCGAUGAUGCAUCUGUCUCUAAAGAUAAAUUCUUGCAUGAUAUGGCAAAUGCUAUGCUUCAGAAAUUUGAGAAGUAUUGGAAAGAGUGCAGUACUUUGCUGUCAAUAGCGUCAAUUCUGGAUCCAAGGUACAAGAUGGAUCUAAUUAAUUUCUGUUUUCCCAAGAUAUAUGUUGCUAGUGACAUUGAACACAACAUUGACUCAGUAGGUUCAACACUAAAGGAGUUGUAUGAACUUUAUGAGAGUGACCACACAGCCAACUUGGUUGCAGCAGAAAAGAAAGUGGAUAAUUAG